AGGGUUUAAGAAGUGCAGUCCACAUGUUUAUUACAGUGAAAUACCUAAAGUAGCGUGGUAAAGCAACAGGGUUAGGGUUGGGUUAGCUGUUUAUAUUUCUGCAAUCUACUUUAGUUUGUGUGAUCUGUUACUGACUUUCAUGUUUAUGUUUACACCAGGCUUGUUUGUCAGGGCUUUAUGUUUUCAUAACUACUACAUGCUUACAAGGUUGGAAGUUCAACAAAUCAGUCAAUAUACUACUGUGAUGCAAAACAUGGACUUUCAUUAUCAUUUUUGAGUGAACUAACCCUUUAACACUGUAAAGCUGCUUUGAGACUAUCUGUACUGUAGAAAUAAAGGCGACUUCGAUGAAAUGACAGCUCGUGUGUGAGUGUAAAAGUGUGUGAAUGUGUGUGUGAUUGUAAAUGUGUUUGAGAGUGUAAAUGUGUGUGAUUAAGUAAGUGUGAGUGAGAGUGUGUGCAUCAGUGAGUGAGUGUGUGUGUGUGAGUGGGGGUGUGUGUGUCAGUGAAAGUCGUGACAUGGUAACCCAUACUCGGAACUGGUGCUCUGUAUUUGACCCAUUCAACAGUGAAAACACACACACACACACACACACACAGCAGUGAGAAGUGAACACACCGUGAACACACACCCGGAGCAGUGGGCAGCUAUAUAUCCAGAGCAACUGGGGGUUCAGUGCCUUGCUCAAGGGCACUUCAGUCAUGGGUAUUGAGGGAGGAAGAGAGCGCUGUUCAUUCACUCCCUCCCACCUACAACUCCUGCCAGCACCGAGACUCCAACCUGCGACUUUCUGGUUACAAGUCCAAUUCUCUAACCAUUAGGCCACAGCUGCCCCAGUGAGUGAGUGUGUGUGUGUGUGUGUGCGCGUGUGUGUCAGUGCCAGUGUGUGAGUGUGAGUGCGUGUGUGCAAGUGUAUGAGUGCCUGCCAGUGAGUGAAGUGUAGUGACAUAAAGCCAAGUAUGGUGACCCAUACUCAGAAUUGGUGCUCUGCAUUUAACCCAUCCAAAGUGCACACACACACCAGUGAACACACACACACCAUUUAUGCUGCCCGGUGCUGUGUGUGUGUUUGAGUGUGAGUGCGUGCGUGCGUGCGUACCAGUGCCAACGAUUGAGUGUGUGUGAGUGAGUGUUAGUGUGUGUGUGUGUGUGUGCGUGCGUGUGUGUGAGUGCCAGUGCGUUAGUGUGAGGUAGGUGAGGGUGUGUGUGUGUGUGAGGGCGUGCCAUUGCCAAUGUGUGUGUGUAUGUGUGUGUCAGAGUGAGUGUGUGAGUGUGUGUGUGUGUGUGUGUGUGUGUUUGUGACAUAUCAGGACACAACUUUGUAUAAUGUCAUGGGUAUGACACAGGUGUUACAAGCAGAGGGUGACUUAUGAGGACAUAACCCAUGUCCCCAUUUUUCAAAACGCUUAUAAACCAU
ensembl:lncRNA